UACGAAGGGACCUAGCGUAGUUCGGAAUUACUGGGCUUAAAGAGUUCGUAGGUGGUUGAAAAAGUUGGUGGUGAAAUCCCAGAGCUUAACUCUGGAACUGCCAUCAAAACUUUUCAGCUAGAGUAUGAUAGAGGAAAGCAGAAUUUCUAGUGUAGAGGUGAAAUUCGUAGAUAUUAGAAAGAAUACCAAUUGCGAAGGCAGCUUUCUGGAUCAUUACUGACACUGAGGAACGAAGGCAUGGGUAGCGAAGAGGAUUAGAUACCCUCGUAGUCCAUGCCGUAAACGAUGUGUGUUAGACGUUGGAAAUUUAUUUUCAGUGUCGCAGCGAAAGCGAUAAACACACCGCCUGGGGAGUACGACCGCAAGGUUAAAACUCAAAUGAAUUGACGGGGACCCGCACAAGUAGUGGAGCAUGUGGUUUAAUUCGAAGAUACGCGCAGAACCUUACCAACACUUGACAUGUUCGUCGCGACUCUAAGAGAUUAGAGUUUUCGGUUCGGCCGGACGAAACACAGGUGCUGCAUGGCUGUCGUCAGCUCGUGUCGUGAGAUGUUGGGUUAAGUCCCGCAACGAGCGCAACCCUCACUUUUAGUUGCCAUCGCUAAGUUGGGCACUCUGAAAGAACUGCCAGUGAUAAGCUGGAGGAAGGUGGGGAUGACGUCAAGUCCUCAUGGCCCUUACGUGUUGGGCUACACACGUGCUACAAUGGUAUCUACAACAGGAAGCAAGACUGCGAAGUUAAGCAAAUCCUUAAAAGAUACCUCAGUUCGGAUUGCACUCUGCAACUCGAGUGCAUGAAGCUGGAAUUACUAGUAAUCGUGGAUCAGCGUGCCACGGUGAAUGCGUUCCCGGGUCU
rnacentral:rRNA from 1 species